UACGGAGGGUGCGAGCGUUGUCCGGAAUCACUGGGCGUAAAGGGCGCGUAGGCGGCGCGAGUAGUCAACGGUGAAAGCCCGGGGCUUAACUCCGGGUCUGCAUUCGAUACGGGCAGGCUAGAGUUCGGUAGGGGAGAUCGGAAUUCCUGGUGUAGCGGUGAAAUGCGCAGAUAUCAGGAGGAACACCGGUGGCGAAGGCGGAUCUCUGGGCCGAUACUGACGCUGAGGAGCGAAAGCUAGGGGAGCAAACGGG
rnacentral:rRNA from 1 species